UACGAAGGGUGCAAGCGUUACUCGGAAUUACUGGGCGUAAAGCGUGCGUAGGCGGUUCGUUAAGUCCGUUGUGAAAGCCCUGGGCUCAACCUGGGAAUGGCAGUGGAUACUGGCGAGCUAGAGUGUGAUAGAGGAUGGUGGAAAUUCCCGGUGUAGCGGUGAAAUGCGUAGAGAUCGGGAGGAACACCAGUGGCGAAGGCGGCCUCUGGAUCAACACUG
rnacentral:rRNA from 1 species